GACGAACGCUGGCGGCGUGCUUAACACAUGCAAGUCGAACGAUGAAGCCUAGCUUGCUAGGUGGCUUAGUGGCGAACGGGUGAGUAAUACGUGAGUGACCUACCUUUGACUCUGGGAUAAGCCUGGGAAACUGGGUCUAAUACCGGAUACGACCAAUCUCCGCAUGGGGUGUUGGUGGAAAGCGUUAUGGAGUGGUUUUAGAUGGGCUCACGGCCUAUCAGCUUGUUGGUGAGGUAAUGGCUUACCAAGGCGACGACGGGUAGCCGGCCUGAGAGGGUGACCGGCCAAAGUGGGAAGGAGAAAGGGCACAGACUCCUAGGGGGGGCAGCAGGGGGGAAUAUUGCACAAGGGGGGCAAGCCUGAUGCAGGGACGCCGGGGGGGGGAAGAGGGCCUUGGGGUGGUAAACCUCGGUAAGAAUCAAAGAAGAGAAAGUGAGGGGAGGUGCAGAGAAAGCGCCGGCUAACUACGU
rnacentral:rRNA from 1 species